ensembl:lincRNA
CUUUUUUAAUUCAGACUAAUGAAGAGUGUCGAGAUAUCUUUUAAUAUUUUGUCUAUAGAUACAAAACAUUUUUAUUGCAGGUGGAACUAAGAUUUUUUUUUCUUUUUAUUGAGUUUAUUGGUACAAUCUAGGUACACAGUACAGUUACAUUCAUUACUGGGAUCCUGUACCUUCACAUGACAGGUCUUGGUUCUCAUUGUUUCCCCUUGUCCCUGCCCUCCCUUCACCCCCUCCCCCCUCCCCAUUUACAAACAAUUUAUUUCCAUUUUUUCAUUUUCUCUUACUUUUUGGAACUAAGAUUUUAUAUUAAAUAUUUCAAUGGUAAACUCAAAGGUGUUAAGAACUUUUUAACUUAAAUGAAAAAUGAUUUCACUAAAUAGUUCUAUUUAGAAAAUAAAAACAUUGCUUUCUCAUACUUCUCAAAGAAACAAUCUAAAAACCAUGGCAACCCAUGAUCAGUUAGACUCUACCGCACAUGCCCAUGAUAGUCUCCCAGUUCCUUUUUGAGUCUGCAUAACUGCUUGGAGAUUUGGUUAAAUGUUAUGGAUAAAAAUUCAUUUAAGAGGAAUAACAACCAAAUACCAUGUGAAGAACUGAGGAGAUUCAUACUCAGACCAAAUCAUUGUAAGAAAAACAUUUGAGUCACUUAGAGAUUUCUUAAGAAUUAGGUAGGUUUUGAAUAAUGUUUGUGAUCAUUAAAUUUUUUCCUUAGGUAUGAAAUUUUAUUGUGUGGCACCACGUCCGUGUCUGUGGAAACUUUGCUGCUGGAGAUGAUGUGCUGGCCCCUGCCCCUGCCUGGCGUGGUGUGGACACGAGGGACGCUGAUGUGGGACUGCUGAGCCCUGGGACUGAGGGACUGAGCCCUGGGUGGGGUCCUGGGGUACGGUAAUCCCUGUGCCUCGGCCUACACCAGGCUUCAGUCCAUCCACAACCACGCUUUGCUUCCCCGUGGCAAAGGUGCAAAAAGGCCCAGGUUAAUGGACGUGUUUCUCUUGGUUAGCAGGGGAGCAUUGAGAGGAAUCAAGCAUCGCUUCAGGGAAAUUCAAGUCCCUGAAUCCAGGGACCCAGAAGAGGCUGCUCCUGUCCUUCCAGUGACGCCAGAGGGCCACUGCAGGCCCUCACCCUCCAGAUGGUCAGUCAUCCCCAUGGCAUUGUCGCCACCUCGUGGCCAUUCCGUGGCCCACACCAGGCAUACCCGCUAUCCUGCAAGAGCCUGCCUGAGGAGGCUGUGGCAGGAACAUCUGCUCUGUUUUGAUCAACUUCUGAAUGUGGGCACAGUCUCUGCUGAAGGACAGGAACCUAAUUCCGGUAAGGGCAGGUGAGUUUCACAAGGACCAACACUUCUCUCCACUUUUGCUUUUUGUGAUGUUUUUACCUCCCUGACUCUUGCCAGCUGCUCCCUACCCCCCAUUCACUACUUGGACGCCUCAGUUAUGUAGGGCCAUUGUUAAAUAAAGCCCAUUUUCACUGCUUUGACUUGUGCCUGGCUGGUUUAUCUUUGACAUACUAGAAAAAGCCACACUUAUUUGUUUCCUCUGUUCCUGUCUGGAAUGUAUUUAUAAAAAGAAAAAUGUACAAACGCGGACUCUCAUUGCCUCUUUAAUGUAAACGGCCAGUGUCACAUGUUCCUCUGCCUGCUGUUUUCUCACCUGGUUUGUGAGAAUGCAAGCACAUGCUGCACUCAAUGAGAGCAAGGACCACAGCUGCAUUGGUGCUUC